CUCACCAGGUCCAGACAUAGAAAGGAUUGACAGAUUGAUAGCUCUUUCUUAAUUCUAUGGGUGGUGGUGCAUGGCCGUUCUUAGUUGGUGGAGUGAUUUGUCUGGU
rnacentral:rRNA from 1 species